rnacentral:ncRNA from 5 species
GGAAGUAAAAGUCGUAACAAGGUUUCCGUA